UACGUAGGUGACAAGCGUUGUCCGGAUUUAUUGGGCGUAAAGCGAGCGCAGGCGGUCUUUUAAGACUGAUGUGAAAGCCCCCGGCUCAACCGGGGAGGGUCAUUGGACACUGGGAGACUUGAGUGCAGAAGAGGAGAGUGGAAUUCCAUGUGUAGCGGUGAAAUGCGUAGAUAUGUGGAGGAACACCGGUGGCGAAGGCGACUUUCUGGUCUGUAAUUGACGCUGAGGCUCGAGAGCGUGGGGAGCGAACAGG
rnacentral:misc_RNA from 1 species